rnacentral:rRNA from 1 species
UACGUAGGGUGCGAGCGUUGUCCGGAAUUAUUGGGCGUAAAGAGCUCGUAGGCGGCCUGUCGCGUCGGUUGUGAAAGCCCGGGGCUUAACCCCGGGUCUGCAGUCGAUACGGGCAGGCUAGAGUUCGGUAGGGGAGAUCGGAAUUCCUGGUGUAGCGGUGAAAUGCGCAGAUAUCAGGAAGAACACCAAUGGCGAAAGCAGCUUUCUGGGACGGUACUGACGCUGAGACGCGAAAGCGUGGGGAGCGAACAGG